rnacentral:rRNA from 1 species
UAGGGAAUCUUCGGCAAUGGGGGGAACCCUGACCGAGCAACGCCGCGUGAGUGAAGAAGGUUUUCGGAUCGUAAAGCUCUGUUGUUAAGGAAGAACGAGUGUGAGAAUGGAAAGUUCAUACUGUGACGGUACUUAACCAGAAAGGGACGGCUAACUACGUGCCAGCAGCCGCGGUAAUACGUAGGUCCCGAGCGUUGUCCGGAUUUAUUGGGCGUAAAGCGAGCGCAGGCGGUUAGAAAAGUCUGAAGUGAAAGGCAGUGGCUCAACCAUUGUAGGCUUUGGAAACUGUUUAACUUGAGUGCAGAAGGGGAGAGUGGAAUUCCAUGUGUAGCGGUGAAAUGCGUAGAUAUAUGGAGGAACACCGGUGGCGAAAGCGGCUCUCUAGUCUGUAACUGACGCUGAGGCUCGAAAGCGUGGGGAGCGAACAGG